rnacentral:rRNA from 1 species
UACGGAGGGUGCUAGCGUUGUUCGGAAUUACUGGGCGUAAAGGGCGCGUAGGUGGCCUUCUAAGUUGAACGUGAAAUCCCUGGGCUCAACCCAGGAACUGCGUCCAAGACUGGGAGGCUUGAAUCCGGGAGAGGGAUGCGGAAUUCCAGGUGUAGCGGUGAAAUGCGUAGAUAUCUGGAGGAACACCGGUGGCGAAGGCGGCAUCCUGGACCGGUAUUGACACUGAGGCGCGAAAGCCAGGGGAGCAAACGGG